CGUAUAUUAAAGUUGUUGCAGUUAAAAAGCUCGUACUUGGAUUUGUGGCGUAUGGUGUGUUCCGGGCACUUGUUGUCUGAGUAACCUGCUGUUGCCAUCCUUGGGUGGAACCUAUGUGGCAUUAGGUUGUCGUGCAGGGGAUGCCCAUCGUUUACUGUGAAAAAAUUAGAGUGUUCAAAGCAGGCUUAUGCCGCUGAAUAUAUUAGCAUGGAAUAAUGAGAUAGGACUUGGGUGCUAUUUUGUUGGUUUGCGCACCUUGGUAAUGAUUAAUAGGGACAGUUGGGGG
rnacentral:rRNA from 1 species